rnacentral:rRNA from 1 species
UACGUAGGCGGGAAAUUAAGUCAGUAGUGAAAUCCCACAGCUUAACUGUGGAACUGUUAUUGAUACUGGUUUUCUUGAAUAUAGUUGAGGUAGGCGGAAUGUGUAAUGUAGCGGUGAAAUGCUUAGAUAUUACACAGAACACCGAUUGCGAAGGCAGCUUACUAAGCUAUGAUUGACGCUGAGGUACGAAAGCGUGGGGAGCGAACAGGAUUAGAUACCCUGGUAGUCC